rnacentral:rRNA from 1 species
CCUACGGGGGGCAGCAGUGGGGAAUAUUGCACAAUGGGGGAAACCCUGAUGCAGCAACGCCGCGUGAGUGAAGAAGUAUUUCGGUAUGUAAAGCUCUAUCAGCAGGGAAGAAAAUGACAGUACCUGACUAAGAAGCCCCGGCUAACUACGUGCCAGCAGCCGCGGUAAUACGUAGGGGGCAAGCGUUAUCCGGAUUUACUGGGUGUAAAGGGGGCGCAGACGGCCAUGGCAAGCCCGGUGUGAAAGGCAGGGGCAUAACCCCUGGACUGCACUGGGAACUGUCAGGCUGGAGUGCCGGAGGGGUA